AAAAAGUUAAUUCAGGACUUCAACAAGAAGGAGGCAGAUUGUUCAUUUGUGUGCUGGUAUCCGCCGCAGCAGGAUUAUGAUUGCAAACGAAUCGCCACACUCGUCAAAAACGACAGCAACCCUGGACCACAUUGGCUGCCUGAACCAGGAGUCAUCUUUGGCCAAUACAAAACUUAUGAGGAGUGCCAACACGUCGUCGACGAAAUGGUAUCAAGUGAAAAUGUCGAAAGUCAGGCUUUGGCGAUGUUGCGGCAAUGUGAUAAGGAACAAAAAAGGAAGGCAAGAACGAUGGAAACAAAUGCAGAAGAAACUGCUAAAGAAAAAACUGCAGUACGUCCAACUGAAAAAGAUCCUGGUACAGCUCACGAAACUGCAAAGAAAAUACAUGCGGAGGCCCCGCUUUAUGGUGCUACAGAGGUAGACGAGAGGCCGGUCGUCAGAUCACCUCUGGCCAUUUCUCGGCCCGAGAGGGAGGACGUCGUCAGAUCACGUCCCCUGGCCAGUUCUCCGACCGAGAGGGACCUGGUCGUCACAUCACCUAUGGCCAGUUCUACGGCCGAGAGGGAGGUCGUCAGAUUACCUCUGGCCAGUUCUCAAGAUGUCAACAGAGCUGAAGGCAGACGAGACGCCAUUGACGUCUUUAGAGCAGAUACACCCAGUACGUCUGAUGAAGAACCCAGUGACGUA